CCUGCGGCGGCCUAUACAUGCAAGUCGAACGGUAACAGACCUGGCAACAGGUGCUGACGAGUGGCGCACGGGUGCGUAACACGUAUGCAACCUACCCUGUACUGGGGGAUAACCCUGAGAAAUCGGGGCUAAUACCCCAUGGUAAUAUAGAUGGGCAUCCAUUUAUAUUUAAAGAUUCAUUGGUACGGGAUGGGCAUGCGCCCCAUUAGUUAGUUGGUGAGGUAACGGCUCACCAAGGCAUUGAUGGGUAGGGGUUCUGAGAGGAUUACCCCCCACACUGGUACUGAGACACGGACCAGACUCCUACGGGAGGCAGCAGUAAGGAAUAUUGGGCAAUGGAGGCAACUCUGACCCAGCCAUGCCGCGUGCAGGAAGACUGCCCUAUGGGUUGUAAACUGCUUUUUCAGGGGACUAACCGUGGUUACGUGUAGCCAUCUGCAUGUACCCUGAGAAUAAGCAUCGGCUAACUCCGUGCCAGCAGCCGCGGUAAUACGGAGGAUGCGAGCGUUAUCCGGAUUUAUUGGGUUUAAAGGGUGCGUAGGCUGACAUGUAAGUCAGUGGUGAAAGACCCCGGCUUAACCGGGGGGUUGCCAUUGAAACUGUAUGUCUUGAGUGUAAUCGAAGUGGGCGGAAUGAGGGGUGUAGCGGUGAAAUGCAUAGAUAUUCCUCAGAACACCGAUAGCGAAGGCAGCUCCCUAGCUUACAACUGACGCUGANGCACGAAAGCGUGGGUAUCAAACAGGAUUAGAUACCCUGGUAGUCCACGCUGU
rnacentral:rRNA from 1 species